rnacentral:rRNA from 1 species
CCCUUAGAUGUCCGGGGCUGCACGCGCGCUACACUGAAGGAAUCAGCGUGCUAAAACCAUUGUCGAAAGGCAUUGGUAAACCCAUUAAAAUCCUACGUGAUUGGGAUCGGGAAUUGCAAUUAUUUCCCUUGAACGAGGAAUUCCCAGUAAGUGUGGGUCAUAAGCUCGCGUUGAUUUCGUCCCUGCCCUUUGUACACACCGCCCGUCGCUGCCCGGGACUGAGCCGUUUCGAGAAAAGCGGGGACUGCUGCUGUCGGGGCUUUCGGGCCUUGGCUUCGGUGGAAACCGCUUUAAUCGCAGUGGCUUGAACCGGGCAAAANUCGUAACA